rnacentral:rRNA from 1 species
CCUACGGGGGACAGCAGUGGGGAAUAUUGCGCAAUGGGCGAAAGCCUGACGCAGCGACGCCGCGUGAGGGAUGAAGGUCUUCGGAUCGUAAACCUCUGUCAGCAGGGAAGAACGGUCACUGUGCUAAUCAGCAGUGCAUUGACGGUACCUGCAAAGGAAGCACCGGCUAACUCCGUGCCAGCAGCCGCGGUAAUACGGAGGGUGCGAGCGUUAAUCGGAAUUACGGGGCGGAAAGGGCUCGUAGGCGGUAUGUCAAGUCAAGGGUGAAAUCCCCGGGCUCAACGUGGGAACUGCCUUUGAAACUGGGCAACUGGAGUGUGUGAGAGGAUAGUGGAAUUCCAGGUGUAGGGGUGAAAUCCGUAGAUAUCUGGAGGAACAUCAGUGGCGAAGGCGACUAUCUGGCACAUAACUGACGCUGAGGAGCGAAAGCGUGGGUAGCAAACAGGAUUAGAUACCCCAGUAGUC